AGCCCUCUUCAAUACCUUCAUUUUGGCGGUGGUUUCACUUCGAUUGACCUCCUGAAACUGAAAUGGUUCACAGGUCAAGAUCUUGUCAGAUCUGACUUUGUCGAAUUAAACCAGGAGCUUGGGAACGAAUCUUUGAGUGAAACAAAUUGGGGGAUGUUUGGUUUAUACCAUGGUGAUAACCGAGAGAGGCAAUUGCUAAGUUGUGAUACUCUCAUACCUUUACUAGACGCGAGCAAUUCCGGAGAAGAAGAAGUGGAAUUGGACAAGGAUUUUAUUUAUAUUGUUGGGAUUCUUAUAUUGAUAGAGUUGAAGAAGUACAGGGACAAAUAAGCCAAGGCAAGCCAUUUACUUUGACUCUUUAUAUCCAUGUUCUUGGUUGAGAUCUUUCUAUCCUUGGUCUCUUGAUUUCUUGCGUCUCCUUGGGUUUGCUUAAUUUGAUUCUUUUACAUACUUGCCACCAAGUGUGUAAUGUCCCCUCUCGAUAUUUUGCGUACUUACUCUAAGUAUGUGAAUCACAUUUCACCACCUUUUGGCACCCUAAUUGUAGUAAACACUUGGGAUAAUAUCAUUAAAAUUGCUCUACUUUUUGAUCAUCUCCAUUCAUGCUCAAUUGGAGUAUGGAUGACCUUGACACCCCUUCAUGUUAUGAUGGCAAUCAUUAUGCUAUUAUACAUCUUAGUUCACACAUAAACUUUAGGUUGGGAAAACCCUCAAGGUUUUACCUUGUUGUAAAAGUUUUUGU